rnacentral:misc_RNA from 1 species
CCGCCUGCCGAACCGGCG